GUUGUAUUUUCACCAUGUAUACCAAAGCACUAUUGGCUACUCUCUUUUUGGUUUAUGCCGUUGUGGAAGGACUAAGAUGUUACGAUUGCGACAGCUCAAAAGGCCACACUAACUGCCAAAGUGGAUCGGGAGUAAGUAGUGUACAAUGCGAACGGAUACCAGAAACUUUGAAUGGAAUAUGCCUUAUAUAUAAGCAAAAUGUCAACGGUACGACAAAAUAUGUAAGAAAAUGCUCCGCUAAGAGGUCUAAUGAGUCGGCCUGCGCGGGUUUAUCCAAUAUUACCUACUGUUACGAUUGUACAUAUGAUAACUGUAACGGACACGCUGUAUAAAAACAGGUCAGUUUAUUGUCAAACUGAUAGAAUUAAUUAAAUUGUGUGCAUAUUUGAAGCCAUUUGACAAGUUUAAAUAAAACUUUUUGAACCAAGUUUAA